AGUGGCGGACGGGUGAGUAACGCGUGAGAAUCUGCCUUCAGGUCGGGGACAACAGAGGGAAACUUCUGCUAAUCCCGGAUGAGCCUUAGGGUAAAAAAUUUAUUGCCUGGAGAUGAGCUCGCGUCUGAUUAGCUAGUUGGUAAGGUAAAAGCUUACCAAGGCAACGAUCAGUAGCUGGUCUGAGAGGAUGAGCAGCCACACUGGGACUGAGACACGGCCCAGACUCCUACGGGAGGCAGCAGUGGGGAAUUUUCCGCAAUGGGCGAAAGCCUGACGGAGCAAGACCGCGUGGGGGAGGAAGGCUCUAGGGUUGUAAACCCCUUUUCUUUGGGAAGAACAAAAUGACGGUACCAAAGGAAUCAGCCUCGGCUAACUCCGUGCCAGCAGCCGCGGUAAUACGGAGGAGGCAAGCGUUAUCCGGAAUGAUUGGGCGUAAAGCGUCCGCAGGUGGCAAUGUAAGUCUGCUGUCAAAACCCAGGGCUCAACUCUGGUCAGGCAGUGGAAACUACAUAGCUAGAGUUCGGUAGGGGCAAAGGGAAUUCCCGGUGUAGCGGUGAAAUGCGUAGAGAUCGGGAAGAACAUCGGUGGCGAAAGCGCUUUGCUAGACCGAAACUGACACUCAGGGACGAAAGCUAGGGGAGCGAAUGCGAUUAGAUACCCC
rnacentral:rRNA from 1 species